UUUAACAAACAAAAGAUUGAGGUUAAGUUUAUCAAUUAUUUACUUUUUUUUUUUUUUUUGUAUCAAUAGACGAAAACGUAUAUGAAAUGUAUUUAUCAACAAUAACAGGCAUUGAUUAUUAUUUGUUGUUGUACUUGUGUCCAAUAAACUUCAGAAUAAAUGACACUUGGUAAAUUAACAUUGUAAAAACUAAAAUAAACUGUUUAUGACAAAUAUAUAUCAUUAAUUCCAACAUAAUUUAUAUUAUUAUUUUCCAUGCUGGUUUGAUGUUUCACUCUCUAAAUUUCUUAUUUCAUUUGUGAUUUGAUUUCAUUCUGCUGACUGCUGCUGACCACUGCUGACUGCUGUCAUUCUGAUUGAUAACUCUCACCAACUCUGACUGUCAUACUUAUAACAAUUAACAAACUUAUAACAAAUCUAAGUACAACUCUGACUGGUAAUGAAGAUGGAUCCUCGUCUCCAAAAAUUGGUCUUUAAUAAGACCUCUUUGGUCGUCAUCACGAUAAUUGGGGAGUGCACUAUAGCAAACUGGUACGUGGAAAAACUAGUAAAGAGAGGAGAAGCCAAAAUGAACGAAAGGUACAGAAUGGAGCGUGAAAAAGAAAACAAGUAAUUAUCUUGGAAAAAAAGAUACCUGAUCAUUAAUAAGUUAUGUAAUUUAAUUCAAUAAAAAUAUAAAAACAAUUAAUUAAUUAAAACUCAAAAAA